rnacentral:rRNA from 1 species
AACGAACGUUAGCGGCGCGCUUAACACAUGCAAGUCGAGCGAGAAAGGGGCUUCGGCCCCCAGUAAAGCGGCGCACGGGUGAGUAACACGUAGGUAAUUCGCCCUUAGGUGGUGGAUAACCUUCCGAAAGGAGGGCUAAUACAGCAUAAGACCACAGCUUCGAAAGGAGCAGAGGUCAAAGCCGGCCUCUUCAAGAAGCUGGCGCCAAAGGAUGAGCCUGCGGCCCAUCAGCUAGUUGGUAGGGUAAUGGCCUACCAAGGCGAAGACGGGUAGCUGGUCUGAGAGGAUGAUCAGCCACACUGGAACUGAGACACGGUCCAGACUCCUACGGGAGGCAGCAGUGGGGAAUCUUGCGCAAUGGGCGAAAGCCUGACGCAGCGACGCCGCGUGAGCGAUGAAGGCCCUCGGGUUGUAAGCUCUGUGGAGGGGGACGAAGUAA